AACGAACGUUGGCGGCAUGCCUAACACAUGCAAGUCGAACGAGACCUUCGGGUCUAGUGGCGCAUGGGUGCGUAACGCGUGGGAACCUGCCCUUAGGUUCGGAAUAACUCCCCGAAAGGGGUGCUAAUACCGGAUAAUGUCUUCGGACCAAAGAUUUAUCGCCUUUGGUUGGGCCCGCGUUGGAUUAGCUAGUUGGUAGGGUAAAAGCCUACCAAGGCGACGAUCCAUAGCUGGUCUGAGAGGAUGAUCAGCCACACUGGGACUGAGACACGGCCCAGACUCCUACGGGAGGCAGCAGUGGGGAAUAUUGGACAAUGGGCGAAAGCCUGAUCCAGCAAUGCCGCGUGAGUGAUGAAGGCCUUAGGGUUGUAAAGCUCUUUUACCCGGGAUGAUAAUGACAGUACCGGGAGAAUAAGCUCCGGCUAACUCCGUG
rnacentral:rRNA from 1 species